rnacentral:ncRNA from 1 species
CAUCUUCAGGGCAGGGUGCGAUUCCCGACCGGCGGUAAAGUCCGCGAGCGCUUCGGCGCAGAUCCGGUGUAAUUCCGGGACCGACAGUAUAGUCUGGAUGGAAGAAGAUG